GACGAACGCUGGCGGCGUGCUUAACACAUGCGAGUCGAACGGAAAGGCCCUGCUUUUGUGGGGUGCUCGAGAGGCGAACGGGUGAGUAACACGUGAGUAACCUGCCCUUGACUUUGGGAUAACUUCAGGAAACUGGGGCUAAUACCGGAUAGGAGCUCCUGCUGCAUGGUGGGGGUUGGAAAGUUUCGGCGGUUGGGGAUGGACUCGCGGCUUAUCAGCUUGUUGGUGGGGUAGUGGCUUACCAAGGCUUUGACGGGUAGCCGGCCUGAGAGGGUGACCGGCCACAUUGGGACUGAGAUACGGCCCAGACUCCUACGGGAGGCAGCAGUGGGGAAUAUUGCACAAUGGGCGGAAGCCUGAUGCAGCAACGCCGCGUGCGGGAUGACGGCCUUCGGGUUGUAAACCGCUUUCGCCUGUGACGAAGCGUGAGUGACGGUAAUGGGUAAAGAAGCACCGGCUAACUACGUG
rnacentral:rRNA from 1 species